GGCUGCUCCAAAGGUAGUGAGUCUCAAUUGACUGUUCACAGUCAGUUGCAGAUCGAACUUUUUGUUCAGUUCUUUCUCCUCUUAUCACUACUGCACUUGGCUAGUCUAAA
rnacentral:Y_RNA from 1 species